rnacentral:lncRNA from 1 species
AAUGGUUUCGUAUUCGUGUGUUUUCGCUGAGGGAAAGUGCAGUGCGCCGCUAAAAGCUCCAUCUCGUAUCUAGAGAACAAACUGCUCCGCGAAAAGGGUCAAUAGAGUAUAAUUAGUCUCAGUAAUGAAAUUUAAAUUUUGCAGCAGUGUAGUGUGAGGGCAUUAAUGCAUGAUUUUCUUGAACUUAGGGAACAUGCUGCACACAUUUGUGAGUUUAACUUGCUAAGGUAGCGCAUGAGAAGAACACUGCACUGUUAUUUUCAGCAUCAUGUCCAUUUUGCUUUUUUCCCCUCUUGUGCCUAUUUUUUGUCUGAUAUUGUGGGUAUGAAUAUGGAUGUGGGUAUGAACACUGGCCUUAUGAAUUCCCUACUGAUUGGCUAGUAUAUUUGAAAUCUGUUGAAAUGGGCUUGAAAUUGGCAUUUCAUAUUGUUUACUUUUUUCUGGAACCACUACCUUUAUCUUUUGAGAAACUAAAGAGUCAUGUAGUUGAUUUUUAUUUCACGAAGUUUUUAUAUACUCGUAUGUUGUGAUAGCCGUGCCACUGUCAAAUAGGUUGUUCUAAUAGAGAAGAAAUUUCCAAGAAGCAGGAUAAGGGCAGUCAUGUUUUGGUAAAUACAUGUUUGCCUGCAGGAACCAACAUUACUUUCUUAGCUGCUUCUUCCUCCUACCUUUUUUUUUUUUUAAAGGGUCCUUUUCCUGCUUAUCCUGUGAUGUGGCAGGUGUAAAUGUUUUGAAAAUACACUUGUGGACAAUUUUUUUUUUAAGUAUUUGCCACGAUAUGUCAUGCAGAGUGUUUCAGUUAGGGACAAAUUUUCUUAACGAGAAUGUGCGGUGUCAUAGAUGUGUGUGGUCAUGCCAAUAUUUUUUGUUGUAAGAUAGAUGUUACAAGUCUCCUGAAAAAAAAGUGCCUAUUGUACUUUCUAAGUCGCAUUCUGUUUCUUGAUGACAUGACGACUGCAGUAUAUGAUUGCAUUCAGCCAAUAAAUAGUAUCAGUGCUACCAUAAAGUGUGAAUAUGCUGAGAUUUUACAUGCUGGGCUUUUUUUCAAGGGCAUUUCAUUAUUUAAAUGUACUUUUACUAUUAUCUCAUCCUUCACUGAACGGUAAACCCUAUUUUCUUAUAUAAGUGUUUAGGGUAUCAGAAAUAGCAAGUUAAUAGUUUAUUGGUUUUGCUGGCAUCAUAUUAUACAUUUCCUUAAAGGAUCUGGUUGACAUAAAACAUUCUUUCUUAACUAUUCAUAGUGUCAAAUUAACUUUUUUUUGUGCAGUGAUAGAAAUGCAAUUUUGGUUCUCAUUAAUAUACAUGCUUCAACAUGUAUUUCUCAUAGUGUGGCUUAUAUUAUGGCUAUUGGCCGCGACUGUACAACACAAGAAUUGAUAAAAAUAUUGGAGUGUAUUUUCCAUUGACAAAACCAGCAUACUUUUAUUAGUCUAGCAAACUGACAGAAUUUAGUAUGUGUGCAUUAAUUAUCAGGUAUGACUAAUGUGGCAAUUUUCAAGUGGUGGCAAAUAAAUAUCGCUAUUAGAAAUUUGGGAUGUGUGAACCAUGUGGACCACAUGGAGUCAACGAGUGAUGAACCAGUGGUUAAUUUUCAUCUGUGAAAAGCACUUGUUGCUUGGCAUCUGAAAACUAAAUGCUUUGCUGGGAACUAACAGGAUUGUAUAUUACGUAUCGAUGUACGUGCUAUCAGUAGUAGGUAACCUACAAUGUAAGCGAAAGAAAUCUGAGCAUAGAACUGAUGAUUGUUCCCAGUGCUCUUAGCAUCUGGUUUGUCUGCCUGUAAUUGUCAUUGGCUUAGCCAAUGGCCUAGGCAAUGAUUCAAGAAGAUAUUAAUUGCUGUAUAAUUAACACCACUCACUCCUUGUUAUUGGAAAAUAUAACUGAAGCCAGCUCAAAAUGACUAAAUUAAAAUUAGCAUCAGAAAUGCUGAAGAAAGAAAGCGCCAAAGGGUAGCUAGCAUGCCAACAUUUCAGGUGGUGUGAAAUCAGGUGUUGCCCUUCAACAAUGCUUGGCAAUGAAUCUUGCCAUGGAAACAUUUAAUUUAAACUGUUUUGUUUUAGUAAUCAUGAAGGGCUUCAGUCAUCACUCUGGAAGUGCUUAUAAUAUCCAAGUUCAUUCUGCUUAAUCAGUGCUCGUAAAGCUGAUGAGGCCCAUUUGUGCUCCCAAACAUAACAUUAAACAAAGGAAUUGUGCCUUAAACAAGGCAGAGAAACAAGCUUAGGUUGAAACAUUGCAUGUGAAAUGUAUGGCAGAUAGCAUCACGGAAGGUUGGAGCCACUUAAAAUCUUUUGGCAGUGAUCACUUUCCUGUGUAAUUACUACUGAAGGAUUUAUAUGAGGGGCAGCAUUUGUUUCUGCAUCUUGAACAUGCAGUGUUUGUCACUGGCUUUGUUUGUUAUCCUUAUAAAUGCUCCCUCAUGUUUUGCAAGAUGCUAUAAGAAUGCCUUCAUUUAUUCUAGUCUGUGCAGACAUAAUUAGGAUGAAUUAGCUCUGCCAGCCCUGCAGCAGUGCAGAUACACUGUUUGCUCCUGUGACAGUGAGGUUGCUGCAGCAAUGCUUGGCACUCAAUUGUGGCAUGGAAUUUGGUACAGUGAGCGCAUGGUGUUGCACUGUGCUACUAGAUUUCUUUGUUGUUGAACAGUUUGGUGCUAAAGUACCAAAUUCAGCUCCAUGUAGUCCUCUGGUUUGAUUCUGUAGUGUUUGAAAAAUAUUGCUAGAAUUGCAGUUUUUUCCAAGCUAUCAAGAAACCAUAUAGGGUUCAGGUAGACUGAAUUUUCAGUAAAUGAAGUUUGUUGAUAGUACUGGUGCCUGCAUGCAGUUAUGUACAGCAGCAUGGUCAAAUCAAAUCUUGUGGUUUUUAUUGUAUGAACCUCACUCAUUAGAUUUGUAACUUGGACAAAAAGUGACCUUUGUCAGGGCUAAAAUAGCAUCUUUUUGUUAGAUUUUGUUCUAAUUUCAUUAACAAAAGCACAGAGUAUGCUGUGGUAGUAUGAAGUACGCUAUCUGUUAAAGCCUGCUUAACUAUUGUAGUGAACCUCGUGCAAGCUCUCAUGUUCUAAGUACUUUACAUCUAACUAUGAAUAGAAACUAGACCACUUUCUUUAUUUUAUUGUUUUUACAGGUAUUGAUACUUAAAUGAAGUCUUUGCUUCAAUUUAGAUCUUGUGAAAUACGUUAUUAUAGUUAAUGAAUGGCAUUGGUUAGAGUUCAUGCAGCUUGCUAUACGUUGGCAUAUUACUAAUUGGCAGUUUACUUGGCUUUUACUAACUGCCCUUGUUUUCACAGUGUAAAAAUAUAAAUUUUACUGCACUGUGCUGAAUUUUUAAAGUGAUUUGUAAUAAUUUUAUAUAUUGUCUUCACUUAGAUGCCUCUGAAUGUAGCAAAAGCCUACUAAAAAAAAAAGAAGAGCCCUGGGUACUGCUGUAUUAAAAACUUGAAGGCGAUUCCUCAGUGUCAUCAUCACUGUUUGUGUAUGGUUCAGCGCUUUCUAGUUGCACAUUCUGCAGUUUUUGGAAAGAAGCUAUGUGCCAGUGACUGUAGUGGCAGCCUUCCUCACUCCACUUGGGGCCCAUGUACAGUGUUCAUAGUGCAUCUCUUUCUGAACACAUCACGCGGCCCAAAGAUUCUAUUUUUGCCAGCUAACCUCACCAUAGCAUCAAGAGUUCGUGCAGCCAUCAAUUUUAGCAUCAUUAAUGUACAGUUGCCGCAGCUUUGUACAAGGUUCCAAGGAGUGUCGGCACAACGUUCAUUUGAAAAGUCGGGCAUGAAGGAUAUUGGUGAAAGUGAUUUUAUUUUGAAAAAGGAAAAUAAUUUAUUUUUAAUAAAAUGCACUACUCAGAAUAUUUUUCGAGUCUUUGCAUACUCUAAAGUUUCUGCUUGCAGGAAUGGAAGAAGUUUAUGCUAGCUCAUCACUGCAGUUUUGGAGCUUUCACUGCUAUGAAAUAAUGAAUGAUGCAUGCCAUAGAGGCAAGUGCUUGUUGGUCCAAGCAGAGUAUGUUGUUGACAUAUUUGGCUGCAACUAAAUGCUGAGUUGCUGUCACAUGUCACUUUUGCUCUAUGCAGGUAUAUGUCCCCUUGCAGAAAACUAUUAGGUUGGUGUGCUAACGUAAUUAGUACUUUACUUAAUGUAAGGCCUGUGCAGGGUGCCAUCAUUGAACAAUUGAAUGCUGGAAAGUCUGUGAAAGCUGCAAAAUUGCCUUCUCAUCUGCAAGUGUGAACUGUUAGACUUAAUCUGCCCAAGAUAAAACACCUAUCUUUUUGGUUUGUUUCUAAUGGGACCUUAUUGAUGUACUCCACUCUUUACUUUUGUGUCAUGAUGUCAUACUCAUAAAUUUUGCAGUAGUUGUUAGUAAAUACUUGAUUUAUUGCAUAUAGUUUGCUGUUAAAAAGAUCAUGGAGUGUAAAAGAAAAAAAAAAGGUAAAAAAAAAGAAGUAUGUAGUACGAGAAAGCAAAACUAACAAAUGGUUAUACUGAGCACAUAAUAAAUCUGAGCACUUUCAGCCAUAUAGGGUAUUUGUGAGGUCAGCCUUUUGUGCAUAGUGCUUGCCUCUAUAUUUAACAUGUCUAUGCCAAGUACACAACCAUGUCAGCAGUGUUAGCAGAUUCAACAGAUUCAAUCAAUUCAUUUCAUGUAAACAAGACUAGUAGGGGCUGAUUGCAGCCUUUGAACAUAUAAAUGUAAAAUGUAGUGCCUGAAGAAAUGAAAAAAAAAAAAAGAACAGAAAUGUUUUGUCUUUCCACUCCAUAAAUAAAUUUCUGGAAGUGUAGCAUAUUUAAGUUUGCAUCAUCUUUCAACCACAAUGCCCCAUUUAUGUUUGCAUUUAUGUAGAACAAUGGUGCCAUUGGUAAUGCUUAGCAGAUACAUUACUCCCAAGAUACCUCCCAAGCUGUUUGUUGAUGCUUCCUGCAGCUGUGGGGCCAGCAUGAUUUUCCCAUUUUUCCUAUGCUUCAAAUGCUUAGCUUUGCAGACACUGUUGAUACACUUUAUUACUUUAAUAGUGCUAGCAAUAGAAAAGAAAUAUGUUGAUUAUGGUACCUAUAAUGGAUGCCUUUCAUGAGUCUCUUAAUUGUUUUGCUAUAGUUGGAUGAAAAUAGAAUGAUUUUGAAGUUGAUUUCAAAUAAAAAACUAACGUACAUUUACAACAGCUGUUUUACUUAUUCAUUUAUUUGUUCAUAUGCUUAAGCAGUGCAUAUUUAUGUAGAGUGGUACACAACAUGAAAGUACACAACAUAUAUGCCACAUAUGUAGACAUUAAUCACAGUGAGUAAAAAGGCACAUUGUAUUAAACUGACUAAUUUUAUUGCCAGGGUGUAAUUAUUGUGCGACUUAAUCUGGUAAUCUGGAACAAGAGGCUUCAGAAAGAAGCUUCCUCUUUAAAUUUAAAUAGCAACACACUUGUGAAGAAAAAAAAGAAAUAUGUGGGAAACUGCGGUCGUUAAGACUUUCUAUUGUGACAAUCGAUAGCCUGUACGUGUGCAUCAAUAGUUCAACUGUUAAUGGAAUGUGAAUGACAUAGUUUAGGUAAUCUGUUGCAUCGCGGACACUUGCUUAUUGCCAUGGUUGCCUGAACUAGCUAUUUCUUUGUAUCAUGGCACCUGUAUUUGUGGAGUGUGUCAAUAAGGCCCUACAAAAAGCAAUUUUUCUUUUGGACUAUAACUUACUAAAAGUAUUUGCACGUAUUAUAUAAGUAGUGAAAGUGUACUUUUUUUAGCGUUUUUAGGUGUGGCUUUUCAGCUAUCCAAAGAGCAUUAGUUCUGUGUUUGUGACUGCAAGGAUUUGUGUGCCCUCCACAUUGCUGUCCAGCAGACAUAUCGUAAAGAGAAGCAGAGUGUGUGCUAUGUAUGUCUAACUGAAAAAAAUCUUUAGCCUUUAUCUUUGAUCUCUUACCCUUGCCAUGCGUGUACAGCCACAUUUAAAGGUAUGCCCCAAAUGUGUGUUAUUGGCUUUAGGCCACGUGUUCACAUUACCAGUUUUGCUAUAAGUGCAUUGAGUGCUAUGUUGAGUGAAGUAACAUUGCUAGUCACUAUUCACUUGAUGCACUUUUCGUAAGAAAAAUAAUCAGAAUAGAAAACAGGCAUGCACAAAGUGGCAACAUAAUUUGCCACUUUUUGUGUGCUUUGCUUUCAUCCGUGCUUUACUUAGUCUUGCGUGCUGGUAAAACCAUAUUUCAGAAAAAUAACUUAUGCUGUAUUUAUUUCUAGUAAACUGGCUAUGCUGUUGAAUCGUAUCAUUUAGCAUGUGUGGUAUACUAAACCUUACUUAUGCACAAUGCAUUUGAUGUUGUCAGUGACACUGCAAUGUUAUGUGCAGCUUAAUGUGUCAUCAUUUAUUUGUAAUAGGAUGCAGUUCGGGCAUUGAAUAUACGAGGUGUGAUUAAAAAAUAAGGUGAAUGCAAUGUUUCAGAAAUGGUGCUAAAAUUUUGUCUGUCACUUUCCUUCAAGUAGUCAGUAAACAUGCUGACUCACAAAACCAGCCCUGCAACAAGGAGGCCCUUAAAAUAUUUUGUAUCAUCACCUUUGAUGCAUUUUGUUCUUUUAUGAGAAUGACUACAUUAGCAAUCUUUAUAUUCAGAAACAGCUAGAACUUGCUAAAUGUUAAGUCAGUAGGAAGAAUUAUGAAAUCGGGGUAGGCACUUGAGCAAACCUAGUGGUCAAGAAAAACUGGAUGAUCGAAACAAGUGUUCUAAUUGUGUCAUCAUUUCCAGAAUAGCAGGCUCAAUCAACAGUACAACCAUCAAAUAUUCAAUUUGACGGAAUUUUAUGCAAGGACAUUUCUUUAAUUCUGUAAUGUUUAGGGUAUGAAAGUAAACAUUGAAUAUGCUAGUACUGUCUUUUAUUUCUUAAAUAACCUGUUAUUGCCCAGUUGUAGCACAAAUGGACUGAGGUUCUAAACUUUUUUUUUUAUGUUCCUCUGUGUUGCUUUAACAGCUAUAGAGGCUCCAUUCACCUUAGGUUUCAAUCACAUUUCGUAUUUAAAUUUGCUCUCUUCAUGCUUUGUUUCAUUUACUGCUUGCUAAUCCUUGCUUUUAUGCACUAGUCAGAUAAACCUGCUUUUAUAACAUAACAGCUGUUCAACUUUUAAUGCUGGCUGUAUAUGCAUCUCAUAGCAGUGGGGAAGACAGUUUGUCAUACAUUUCAGUUGACUGUGCAUGAUGGAUGGCUUGAGUGUUAAGAAAAAGGUCCAUGAUUCUGCUCUGUUUGACAGGUUGAGUCUUGUUUUUCACUCCCAUAUUUAUUAUUGACUCAUAACACCUCUCUCUGUAAGGAAGUUUCUUUCUUUAUCCAGAAGGUGAGUUUGGUUGGCCAUGAAUUGUGCCUCUCUCUGUGAGUACAAAAUCUGACUGUGCAACGUUGGUGAGUACUGUAAUUUAUGCUGAGGAGGCAACCUUGUAGCACCUUAGGUGAAGUGAUGAAUUAUCUGAUUUGCAGUAGUUUCCUUGUGCGUGCUUAAUAACUGCUUUUAGUUCUUUGCUCCUAGCUUAAAAACAUAUUAGUUUUAAUUCAGAAGAAGCAAUGUGUUGUAUAAUUAUGGUCUUGUUUUCUGAAAACUCUUGGAAUAUUUUUUUAACAAGACUAACCUGCUCUUCUUUUACUGACUGACCUUGCUUGUUGUUACCUUACCUUCUAACUGGACUAGAAUGUAUGUACUGAAUAAAGGUCAUUGUAAUCUCAGCUUAUUUCUGUCUCUGCCUGCUUCUUCUUAAAGCUUUUAGUCUCCUCUUUUAAACUCUGCAAGCAAAACUAACCAGCCAAAUCAUUAUUCAUCUUGCCUCCCAUGGACAAAAAGACAAAAAGAAAAAAAAAGAAAAAAAAGAACAAAAACAAAAAACCUCCAAGUAAACUGACCUGAUCAGGCUCACAAUUCGAUUUUUUGGUUUAUUUUCUCGCAUAUUUAGCUCUCUACAUUACAAAUGUGCUAUAUCAACUGUAGACUUUAGUAGCCCUUAUCAUCUCUCUUGAAGUGAAAUACUGGAGAGGGAUAUUGGCAAGAUAAAAUUAUUUGUCACUGCGGAGAACGCAAGAGCAGUAGGCAGAGAUUUGAAAUUUCGUAACCGACAGUAACCUAUGAAAGGAAAUUCAGUACAUACAUCUGGCUUCCAGGUGCCUAAAUUUAUUCUGUGAAAUCAAUGCUGCUCCCCACUGCUAUGUUUUAAGCUUCACUGCUGUUUACUCGGAGGUUGUGUGCCUUUUUUGAGCUUCCUGACAAUCACACCACAAAAAAUGACAUUUAGUGGAAAUACUACACAGAGCAACAUUGUUCUACAAAUUGCUCUUUCAGUACUU